rnacentral:rRNA from 1 species
CGCCAGACUCCUACGGGAGGCAGCAGUGAGGAAUAUUGGUCAAUGGUCGGGAGACUGAACCAGCCAAGCCGCGUGAGGGAUGAAGGUACAGAGUAUCGUAAACCUCUUUUGUCAGGGAACAAAGGCGGGGACGUGUCCCCGGAUGAGUGUACCUGAAGAAAAAGCAUCGGCUAACUACGUGCCAGCAGCCGCGGUAAUACGUAGGGGGCAAGCGUUAUCCGGAUUUACUGGGUGUAAAGGGAGCGUAGACGGUUAUGUAAGUCUGGAGUGAAAGCCCGGGGCCCAACCCCGGGACUGCUUUGGAAACUGUGUAACUGGAGUACAGGAGGGGCAGGCGGAAUUCCUGGUGUAGCGGUGAAAUGCGUAGAUAUCAGGAGGAACACCGGCGGCGAAGGCGGCCUGCUGGACUGAAACUGACGUUGAGGCUCGAAAGCGUGGGGAGCAAACAGGAUUAGAUACCCCUGUAC